rnacentral:rRNA from 1 species
AUACGUAGGGGGCGAGCGUUGUCCGGAAUUAUUGGGCGUAAAGGGUACGUAGGCGGUUUUUUAAGUCUGGUGUGAAAUUGGUGGGCUCAACCCACCCAAGCAUUGGAAACUGGAAAACUUGAGUCAUGGAGAGGAAAGUGGAAUUCCUAGUGUAGCGGUGAAAUGCGUAGAUAUUAGGAGGAAUACCGGUGGCGAAGGCGACUUUCUGGACAUGUACUGACGCUGAGGUACGAAAGCGUGGGGAGCAAACAGGAUUAGAUACCCUGGUAGUCCACGCCGUAAACGAUGAGUGCUAGGUGUUGGGGGUCAAACCUCGGUGCCGCAGUUAACACAUUAAGCACUCCGCCUGGGGAGUACGUGCGCAAGCAUGAAACUCAAAUGAAUUGACGGGG